CUCGUAGGCGGCUUGUCACGUCGGAUGUGAAAGCCCGGGGCUUAACCCCGGGUCUGCAUUCGAUACGGGCUAGCUAGAGUGUGGUAGGGGAGAUCGGAAUUCCUGGUGUAGCGGUGAAAUGCGCAGAUAUCAGGAGGAACACCGGUGGCGAAGGCGGAUCUCUGGGCCAUUACUGACGCUGAGGAGCGAAAGCGUGGGGAGCGAACAGGAUUAUAUACCCUGGUAGUCCACGCCGUAAACGUUGGGAACUAAGUGUUG
rnacentral:rRNA from 1 species